GCCGAGAUAGCCAAGGUGGUCAAGGCGCCUGUCUGAAGAACAGGUUAUUUCAGUUCGACUCUGGAUCUCGGCA
rnacentral:tRNA from 4 species